UUCUUUGAAUUCAAUGUCUUUACUCGACAACAUUAUGCUAUUUUUUAAUGGAAUCAUACAUUAGUUAAUGAUCUUCUUAAAAUAUUGCCAAAUCAAGGUUUGGAACUUCCCAAAGAUUCAAGGAGAGUUUUAAAAGCACCUUAUGAAAAGCAGCUUAUAGACAGGAGCGUCAACUACAUCAAGUGUCAGUUGAUAUAUAUGUUCAAAUUCAUGUUUGUAUUUGGAACAACUCCUUUAAUUCAUUCAGCUCCUCCAAAAUUUGAAAGUCUGUGAUUCAAAAUUUUGCUUUUCCCAAAACAAAGUUAAAAAAAAUAUAUGAAGUCAAUGAUAAAUCUUAAAGUUUUACAAAGAAUAAUAAAUAGAAGUUAUUAAAUGUUGGUGGCU